rnacentral:rRNA from 1 species
GACGAACGCUGGCGGCGUGCUUAACACAUGCAAGUCGAACGGAAAGGCCUUUUCGGAGGUACUCGAGUGGCGAACGGGUGAGUAACACGUGGGUGAUCUGCCCUGCACUCUGGGAUAAGCCUGGGAAACUGGGUCUAAUACCGGAUAGGACCGCACUUUAGUGUGUGUGGUGGAAAGUUUUUUCGGUGUAGGAUGAGCCCGCGGCCUAUCAGCUUGUUGGUGGGGUAAUGGCCUACAAAGGCGGCGACGGGUAGCCGGACUGAGAGGUUGGUCGGCCACAUUGGGACUGAGAUACGGCCCAGACUCCUACGGGAGGUAGCAGUGGGGAAUAUUGCACAAUGGGCGCAAGCCUGAUGCAGCGACGCCGCGUGGGGGAUGACGGCCUUCGGGUUGUAAACUCCUUUCGCCAGGGACGAAGCGUUUUGUGACGGUACCUGGAGAAGAAGCACCGGCUAACUACGUG